CGUGAGAUGUUGGGUUAAGUCCGUAACGAGCGCAACCCUUGUCCUUAGUUACCAGCACGUUAUGGUGGGCACUCUAAGGAGACUGCCGGUGACAAACCGAGGAAGGUGGGGAUGACGUCAAGUCAUCAUGGCCCUUACGGCCUGGGCUACACACGUGCUACAAUGGUCGGUACAAAGGGUUGCCAAGCCGCGAGGUGGAGCUAAUCCCAUAAAACCGAUCGUAGUCCGGAUCGCAGUCUGCAACUCGACUGCGUGAAGUCGGAAUCGCUAGUAAUCGUGAAUCAGAAUGUCACGGUGAAUACGUUCCCGGGCCUU
rnacentral:rRNA from 1 species